GCCUGACUUGCUCAGUCAGUAGAGCAUGUGACUUUGGACCCCAGGGUUGUGAGUUCAAGCCCCAUCUUGGGCA
rnacentral:tRNA from 1 species